CCUCGAGUUUUCAGAUGUUCGUGAGAUAUUUCGAGCAGUAAAGACAAUUUUGAAGGAGGCACGCAUGGACCAAGCUAAGUCCAAGCAGCUUUUCCACUUA